rnacentral:sRNA from 1 species
CGUUAACGCGAGGAGACAGACAUGGGACUGACACGAUCCUUGAAUGUCCUUUUGAUCGGUGCGGCGUUUCUUUUCGUGCUGUCGAUGCUUUUCAUCUGACACAGGAUGCCGCUUCAAACGGACUAUGCCGAAACUCCUAGAUAGCGCAGAGUUCAUGAAACAGAAAAAGCGCAGGCCAUUGCGGUCUGCGCUUU